rnacentral:rRNA from 1 species
UACAGAGGUCUCAAGCGUUGUUCGGAUUCAUUGGGCGUAAAGGGUGCGUAGGCGGCGCGGUAAGUCGGGUGUGAAAUUUCGAGGCUUAACUUCGAAACUGCAUUCGAUACUGCCGUGCUUGAGGACUGGAGAGGAGACUGGAAUUUACGGUGUAGCGGUGAAAUGCGUAGAUAUCGUAAGGAAGACCGGUGGCGAAGGCGGGUCUCUGGACAGUUCCUGACGCUGAGGCACGAAGGUCAGGGGAGCAAACGGG